rnacentral:misc_RNA from 1 species
UCCGGCUUAUCACCGGCAGUUUCCUCAGAGUGCCCAGCAUUACCUGGUAGCAACAGAGGAUGAGGGUUGCGCUCGUUGCGGGACUUAACCCAACAUCUCACGACACGAGCUGACGACAGCCAUGCAGCACCUGUGCAUCUCCCACCCGAAGUGAAGGAUUCUCUUUCAAGAAUCCAUAGAGAGCAUGUCAAGGCCUGGUAAGGUUCUUCGCGUUGCCUCGAAUUAAACCACAUGUUCCACCGCUUGUGCGGGUCCCCGUCAAUUCCUUUGAGUUUUAAUCUUGCGACCGUACUCCCCAGGCGGGAUGCUUAACGCGUUAGCUACGCCACCGGCCCCGAAGGGACCGACGGCUAGCAUCCAUCGUUUACGGCGUGGACUAC